GAAGUCUGAAAUGGAUCCCAUGAAUUAUCUCCCCUUCGGUCAUGGUCCACGUCAGUGUUUGGGAAUGAGGCUUGCACAGAUGGAGAUGAAGAUGGCCCUGGCUCGAAUUCUCAGACAGAUUCAAUUUGUGCCUGCACAUGACACAUUGGCAUCUAUCAGACAAGAGGACGUCGAUGUAUAUACAGGAAUAUUCAACACCAAGAAGCCUAUCAUGCUCAGGGUCCAAGUCCGUUCAGACGAGUAAGAUGGCAAAGACCCAGUGUUCUCUGAGCCUGACAGCGCCGACAUCCGCAUCAUCCAGUGUAUUACCUCCCUUGUGUUACAUUAAAACCAGGGACCAUUUCACCAA